UCCGCUAAAAAAAUUAUUUUUUCUUGAUUUAAAAUAAUUUAAAAAAAAUUAUAUCUAUAUAUAUAAUUAAACACAUUGACAAAAUAGAGAGAGAAAGAGAAAAGUAAAUUAACAGCGAGAGAAAGAGAGGAAUGAGAACAAAAAAAAGAUAAAUUUUCUUUAAAGAAAAAAAUAAAUUGCAAUUAAACAAAAGAAUUUAGUUAUAAUGAAAUUUAUAAAAAUGAAACACGUUUUUUUAUGCAAAUUUAUGAAUUAUUUUUUAACUUUUUUUAUAAUUUUUUAAACAAAAAAAUAAUAAAAACACACACUUUUUUUUAAAUAAUAAAUAGAGAAAAAGAGCACAACACACGCAGAGAGGCAAAUAGGAAAUUAAAGAAAAAAAAAGAAAUUCACAGUACUUUUUUUAUUUGAUACGAACGGAUGAAUAAUAUUGAAAAAGAAGAAGCAAAAAAGUAUUCGUUCGGUUGUUUUCUGUGUUGUGUUUUGCUGUUGUUCGAAACGCGUAGUUUGUUUGCCUGCUGUUAAGUUGUGUAGCUUCGCACGAAAAUUUUAACGUCGCGUAACGCCGCUGAGGCAAAAAUUCAACUGUCUACCCAAAGUAAACGCUCGUUUGUUCGUUGCUCGUUAGUGAAUAGAGUAUAUCUCUCGUCAAAAACGGUAAAAGCAAAAACAACAAACACACGAUUAAACCAACUUCGUCUAAGAAAAAAAAAACGAUUCAAUUUUAUUGUUAAUAAGAAAGCAAGAAAAAAAAAAAAAGAUUCAAACACGAAAACCUGCUACCAGGGAGAGCAAAAAAAUAAAUAACUUAUAAUUUUGCUCAAAAUAUAAAAAUAAACCAAGAGAUUUUUGGUAUUUUUCGAAAAGAGAGUUAAUAAAACUUGUGAAAAAAACAGUGAAGUGAAGCUAAAAGAGAGCAAGAGUAUUAGUGUUAUGAGAGAACAUAAUUAAGUUCUUCUCUUUGUUGGUGUUAUUAUUAUUUAUUUAGUUUUUUUUUCUUUUUUUUAAAAAAAGCUGAAAUUAGCUUAAAUAUUUAAUGAUUUAUCAAAUUUACUGUUAUGUUUUGCAUUUAUUUUUAAAAUUAGCAACAACAGCAUAUAAUAUAUAUAUAAAAAAAUAACAAACAAACUAAAAAUCCCCCUUAAAAAAACAUUUUCAAAUAAAAUUGAAAACAAAAACUUAUUUAAAGAAAAUUAAAAAAAAAACCCAGGCGUUGGAUUAUUAACAUCUUCUUUCACCAAAAAUCACGACGGUUUUAAUAUAUACCUUACACUACUCCUGCAGCUAAUGCUCUCUAAGGUCAUUAAAACCUUAUAAGUCUGCAAAGAGUCCUCAUAGAAACAUAAAAACUGAACUGAUUACAUUAACAAAAAAAAGAAUUUGCGCCAGUUUUUGUUUUUUGAAAAAAAAAUUACUUUAUUAAAAAAUUUAAAAAUUUAAAAAAGGAAUUAAAA